UCCAUGCAAGACGCCAUCUCUUUAUUCCUUUGUGUUUAGUUCAUCUGAAUUUCCUUUAUAGCCAGAAUCUGUUUGGUUUUAUACUUUGCGUGCUCCACACUGGACCUUUGAAAGUGGAAAUUAGGGCAUGGGGUGAAGAUCUUUCUUCACUAUGGACCAGAGGCCAACAGACAAGCCAAAAAGGAGCCACGAGAGGAGGCUGGGUUUCUAAAACCUCAAUGGCACUUGGGUGUUCUGAAGCUGAAAAGAUCAAGAAAUGAGAUUAAAGAAUAAAACCUACGAUUGCAUGGAUUCUUCUAUUAAAAAUAAUAAAAUGGGGCCAGCGCUGUGGCACAGUAGGUUAAUCUUCUGUCUGUGGCACCAGCAUUCCAUAUGGGCGCCGGUUCGAGUCCCGGCUGCUCCACUUCUGAUCCAGCUCUCUGCUAUGGCCUGGGAAAGCAGCAAAAGAUGGCCCAAGUCCUUGGGCCCCUGCACCUGCGUGGGAGACCUGAAAGAAGCUCCUGCUUCCUGGCUUCGGAUCUGCUCAGCUACAGCUGUUGCAGCCAUUUGGGGAGUGAAACAGAGGAUGGAAGACCUCUCUUUCUGUCUCUCCCUCUCACUGUCUGUAACUCUACCUCUCGAAUAAAUAAAAUCUUUAAAAAAAAAAUACAAGUCAGUCAUCACAGAUUCAGGGGAAGGUUUACAUCAUAAAAAGAAUUGAUGAUAUGCACCAGAAUCCCAGCACUGAUUCAUUAAUAAAUAGGAAAUUUCUAAUUGGAAAGUCUGCUUUUCCAAUACUUAGAUGUCACUUUGUGGCAUAUAAAAUAAAUAAGCUCUUUAAAGUC